rnacentral:rRNA from 1 species
ACUCAAAGGAAUUGACGGGGGCCCGCACAAGCGGUGGAGCAUGUGGUUUAAUUCGACGCAACGCGAAGAACCUUACCUGGGCUCGAAAUGUACGGGACAGUGGUAGAAAUAUCAUCUCCUAGCAAUAGGUCCGUAUAUAGGUGCUGCAUGGCUGUCGUCAGCUCGUGUCGUGAGAUGUUGGGUUAAGUCCCGCAACGAGCGCAACCCUUAUCUCCAGUUGCUACCAUUUAGUUGAGCACUCUGGCGAAACCGCCUCGGAUAACGGGGAGGAAGGUGGGGAUGACGUCAAGUCCUCAUGGCCUUUAUGUCCAGGGCUACACACGUGCUACAAUGGCCGGUACAAACCGCUGCAACCCCGCGAGGGUGAGCUAAUCGGAAAAAGCCGGCCUCAGUUCGGAUUGGAGUCUGCAACUCGACUCCAUGAAGCUGGAAUCGCUAGUAAUCGUGGAUCAGCAUGCCACGGUGAAUACGUUCCCGGGCCUUGUACACACCGCCCGU